CGCAUUACAGGGAGGAGCAGGCGCGCAAUUACCCAAUCCUGACUCAGGGAGGUAGUGACAAGAAAUAACAAUAAACCGGCUUAUGCCGGUUUAAUUGGAAUGAGUACAAUUUAAACAUCUUAACGAGGAACAAUUGGAGGGCAAGUCUGGUGCCAGCAGCCGCGGUAAUUCCAGCUCCAAUAGCGUAUACUAAAGUUGUUGCAGUUAAAAAGCUCGUAGUUGGAUUUCUGUGGGGACGGAGCGGCCGGCCGCACAUCGCGGUUCGAGCUAGCGCUUUCCCUACAUCCUGCCGCGAACCGUGCUACCAUUAGUUUGGUGGCGCCGGGGAUCGGCUCGAUUACUUUGAGAAAAAUAGAGUGUUCAAAGCAGGCCACAUGCCUUGAAUAAGUUAGCAUGGAAUAAUAACUAAGGACUUCGGUUCUAUUUUGUUGGUGUUCGGGACUGAAGUAAUGAUUGAUAGGGACAGUUGGGGCGGUCUGUAUUCCAAAGCGAGAGGUGAAAUUCUUAGACCUUCGGAAGACAAACAGCUGCGAAAGCGUUCCGCAAGGAUGUUCCCUUUGAUCAAGAACGAAAGUUGGGGGAUCGAAGACGAUCAGAUACCGUCGUAGUCUCAACUAUAAACUAUACCAGCUAGGGAUCGGCCAACGUUAUUUUAUACCGACUUGGUCGGCACCUUAUGAGAAAUCAAAGCAUCUGGGUUCCGGGGGGAGUAUGGUCGCAAGGCUGAAACUUAAAGGAAUUGACGGAAGGGCACCACCAGCCGUGGAGCCUGUGGCUUAAUUUGACUCAACACGGGAAAACUUACCAGGUCCAGACAUAGUAAGGAUUGACAGAUUGAUAGCUCUUUCUUGAUUCUGUGGGUGGUGGUGCAUGGCCGUUCUUAGUUGGUGGAGUGAUUUGUCUGGUUAAUUCCGUUAACGAACGAGACCCCAGCCUGCUAAAUAGCGCGCGUGAGCUUUGCUCGCGGCGAGCUUCUUAGAGGGACUAUGAUGCGCGAUAGCACAUGGAAGUUUGGGGCAAUAACAGGUCUGUGAUGCCCUUAGAUGUUCUGGGCCGCACACGGGCUACACUGGCGCCUGCAACGAGCAUAUCAGCUGGCCUGAGAGGGUCUUGGCUAAUCUUUUGAACCGGCGCCGUGCUUGGGAUUGACCUUUGCAAUUGUUGGUCAUGCAACGAGGAAUGCCUUGUAAACGCGAGUCAUCAGCUCGCAUUGAAUACGUCCCUGCCCUUUGUACACACCGCCCGUCGCUCCUACCGAUGAAUGUUCCGAUGAAAUUGUCGGAGAGCACCUGUGAACUUGGCUCUGCCUUGCGAACGGGAGGCUCAAAGUCACUAAAUCUGAACAUUAA
rnacentral:rRNA from 1 species